ACCUUGCUGACGAGUGCUAAGUAGCACGAAACCCGAGUCCAAGGU
rnacentral:hammerhead_ribozyme from 1 species